rnacentral:tRNA from 1 species
GAGGGUAUAGCUCAGUGGUAGAGUGUGAGCUUAGCACAGGGUCCUGGGUUCAAUCCUUAGUACCUCUG